rnacentral:tRNA from 1 species
AUAUUCUAAGGUAUAAACCCUCCUUAAUAUCUUCAGUAUCAUGCUCUAAUAAGCUAUUAAAAUA